rnacentral:lncRNA from 1 species
ACCGAGCGGAUGAACUGCCCCGGACGGGACUUCUCACUGUGCAGGUUGAAGCCAUAACCACUGGGGCCUUUCUUCAGGUGGCAGAGGCGUGGACACAGCUCUUUCUGUCCGUUUAAAUCCUUCCUGCUGCUGUGGGAGGAGAAGCUGUGUGAGUGCCGCUGCAGGCUGCCUGCGUUCAGCUCCAGCUGUGGCUUCCACACCUCCCCGUUGUCGCUGCCCACUGACUUGGAGGGCGAGAUGCUGGAGCCCAGCAGGAUCCCACUGUGUGCCAUCUCCUCCGUGCAUGUCAGGCGCAGGCUGCACAGGUACUCAUCCGUCUCCUUGUCCACCACCAGCAGGCGGGUCUCUGUCUCCACCGCUUUGAUGCGCUGCACCACCUGGUGGUGCGUUUCCUGCUCCACGUUGAGCCCAUUCACCUCCACGACUCGAUCCCCAGCGCGCAGCCCCGCCGCUUCGGCGGGGGAACCGGGCUCCACUUUGCGGAUGAACUGCCCGCUCUUGCCCUUCUCGCCGUGCAGGUGGAAGCCGUAGCCGUUCUCCCCUUUCAGCAUAUGGCACAGCCGCGGUUUCAGCUGGUCCUUAGCCAUGGCCGGGGCGGGCGGAGGAGCGCGGCGGAACGGAGCGGAGCGGAACGGGGGCGGGCGGCCGCGGGGCCCUUUUAUGCGCGGCGCGGGGCGGGCGCGGGGCGGCGGGGCGCGGAGGGGCGGGCCCGGGCCGGGGCCGCUGUCGGGGCCGGCGUUGGGGUCGGGGCGCUGCGCAGCGCGGCC